GAGGGACUUCCGGUGCGCCCCUCGGCCCUGUUUCCGGUGUCCAGCGGCCGCUUGCCUGGCGCCCUGGGCUGGUCUCGAGGACGCUGCGGACGGCGAGGCUGUGCUGAUUUUCCUGGUAGCGGGGCCUUUGGUGAGGACGGCGUGCGGAGCAGGGGGAAUGAAAGAUGGCAGCACGCCGUGCGUUAAAAGCUGUUUUGGUGGAUCUCAAUGGCACACUUCACAUUGAAGAUGCAGCUGUGCCAGGCGCACAGGAAGCUCUUAAAAGGUUACGUGGUACUUCUGUAAUGGUUAGGUUUGUGACCAAUACAACCAAAGAGAGCAAGCAAGACCUAUUGGAAAGGUUGAAAAAAUUGGAGUUUGAUAUCUCUGAAGAUGAAAUAUUCACUUCUCUGACUGCAGCCAGAAAUUUAGUAGAGCAGAAACAGGUUCGACCCAUGCUGCUAGUAGAUGACCGGGCACUACCUGAUUUCAAAGGAAUACAAACAAGCGAUCCUAAUGCUGUGGUCAUAGGACUGGCACCAGAACAUUUCCAUUAUCAAAUUCUGAAUCAAGCAUUCCGGUUACUUCUGGAUGGGUCACCUCUGAUCGCAAUCCACAAGGCCAGGUAUUACAAGAGGAAAGAUGGCCUGGCCCUGGGGCCUGGACCGUUCGUGACAGCUUUAGAGUAUGCCACAGACACCAAAGCCACAGUAGUGGGAAAACCAGAGAAAACGUUCUUUUUGGAAGCAUUGCGGGGCACUGGCUGUGAACCUGAGGAGGCCGUGAUGAUAGGAGACGAUUGCAGGGAUGACGUUGGUGGGGCUCAGAAUGUCGGCAUGCUGGGUAUCUUAGUAAAAACUGGGAAAUAUCGAGCAGCAGAUGAAGAAAAAAUUAAUCCACCUCCUUACUUAACUUGUGAGAGCUUCCCUCAUGCUGUGGACCACAUCCUGCAGCAUCUACUGUGAUCCUUUAUGUGAAUCAGAAGCAACUCUGGAAUGAAUCCCUCCCCAACUCCGCGCCCGCAUAGAUAGACAUGGACCAACCCUCCUCUAUUGUGCAUUAAUUAGAAAGAAAGGUAUUGAAUUGCAGCCAGCCACUGAGCCUUGCUUAUCCCUUUUGUUUUAUUUUGUAAAAGAAGAUGAGACCCAGAGAAAGGGAAAGCUGAGAUUUUAUGUCAUUCCUUUUAAAAUAUUCAUCAGGCUAGGCAGGGCUGGGAGGGGGACUCUCCUGCAGGGAGUCGUGUUCUCUGCUGUCUCCUCACUGGCACAUUGGGAGGGGGGAGUGUUCAGAUUGUGAAUAAAAGUGAAUGGCAUUUUUUAAAUUAUAAAAUAAUGUGUCAAAAAGUGUGUCGGGCUAUAGUUUUAACAUUGAGCGUAGCUGCGAAAUUCAUCAGAAGUGCCAAGUGGAGUACAAGUCAGAAGAAGCAAAAUAAAUUGUCCUUUAGCCCAAGUGAUCAAGUGAAUUUGCUUUAACGGAUGUUGAAAACUAGAUUAUCUCCUGUAUUAUUCCCAGCACGGGUGACUUCUUUUUCUCUUCAUUAGCCAGAGAUGACUAAUUUAAAUUUAGAACCUGAUUUUAAUUUAAAAUAAUAUUUCCAUUAAUAACCUAUUCAUUGCAGAUACCUAUUAUACUGUGUAACAGUUGUUUUGGAAAUUUUAUGUAAAAUUAAAACUAUCAGUAUUUUACAGAUGUUUUAAUUAGACAUUGUUAUUAACAGGAACAGUGCAGAAACUAAAAUCAAGCCUUUAAUGUCUUAUAGACCAUGCAUUUUUGAAGUUAGUGUCCACCAGGGUCCUAUUAACUGUACAUUUGCAAGAUUUCAUUAUUUUUGCCUCUGACACUAUGGGAAAAAUCUUUUAGAAGCUGUUGGGACAGAUUCAAGCUUUUAUGUACUUGGUUACUACAGCUGUAAAAUGAAAUCUCGUCUUGUAGCAUGGAUUAUUCUUUUCAUGUUAAGCCCACCAAAAUGAAGGGGACUAAGUAGGUAAUGAUUUUCCUAGUGCAUUUGCAUACUGUGAUAAUCCUGGGCCUUUGCAAUUGUUUUACAGGGCUCUUGGGCAUUGAAUUAUUAGCAUGUAAUUGUACAUCAUUGUGGUGUUCACCUUAUUGAAGCACACACUGAUGUUAAUGAGUUUCGGGCUUUGAUGCUUGUUUAGAGAUCAGCUUGGUCUUGGAUGGGAGGGAGCAAAGCUAAAUAAAUGGCAGCUCCCUCUCCUUUCGGUGGUUUGGCGAUCACUCUAUUCUUGUUUCUGCAGAUGCCCCGACCUAGUACUUAAACGUCCUAGAGUGCAAAGCAUGUGUGCUGAACCUGCCGCCCCAGAUCGGAGGCGUGAGUGGAAUGGCCAGGAGCAGAGGUUCGGGGGCCUAGCCAGCAGUUAACGAGCUGGGUCCGUGGGCAAGUCACCUAGACUUGUCUGUGAAGUGGAGACAGUGCCAGCACCCACCACUUAGGCUUGUUGUGGGGGUGAAACACCUGACCGGUGUAUCAAGUAGAAUCGGACAGAUGCUGAGUGCUGUGUGGUUUCGGCGCUGACGAUGACGCAGGUGUAGCAGGACUGUCCACACCGGGUAAUCUGGUAAGGGUUGAUAGAAUUCACCUCUACAGUUGGUUCAAUGGGGAAAGUCUUCCUGAGGAUUCAAAAAGAGCGAGACAUUCUAUUCCGUCUAAACCACACGCGCAGAGGCACAGAGAGAGCCGCUCAGCAGCAGGUAGAGUGUGCUGCCCGGUACCUGGGGGAUGUGCUGUAUUCAACCUCGGCCUGUUACCUGGGUCCCUGGGUGAGUGAUUCGUUGACCCAGGCACCAUCGAGUGUUUGCUGGUUGCUACGUGCUAAGUGCCGUGCUAGGAAAUAAUCACGUGUAUAAGACAAGGAUUUUGCCCUGAGGAAACUUCCUCGUGGAGGAGCUAGGGAGAACAUACAAGACCUUGUUCGGACUCCAGUGGCCCUCCUCUCUGAUGUCCGCCUGACUGCAGGUGGAAUGAGGCAUUCCCUCCUCCUUGCCCUCAUACCACUUGUUAGAUUAUAUGUUGGUCCUCACAUGUCCCUUCUGCCCACCAGACAGGACUGGGUCUCAUUCUUUAUUGUAUCUCCUGCAACACAGGCACUCAGAUGGUUACGGAACCAGUACAAACCAGCUGUAAAUAUUAUAGGAAUUUAAUGUUGGAACAUAUAGCUAUGAGUAGAGAGGAGAAAAUAAGUCUCAUUUUAGACUCAUUGCCUAUAAGGGAGGUCCCCUCAGACACUUGGAAAUAGUGGAUCUGAUGCUCUGGAGACAGACUAGAGCUAAAGCAAAGAAGUAGACGUCACUGAUGGGUCAGGCAUCAAACAGAAUGACAGGAAUGGAUAAGGCCAUGUGAGCAUAAGGCCCCCAGCCAAGAGAAAUGGCUUCCUUCUUCCAUUCUAGUUUGGCCCUAUAGGCCAUUGAAAUCUUUGUUUGAUGUUUUAUUUAUUUAACAAACAUUAUAUAGGGUUUGUUGGCUGACCUGUCCAUAGGGAGGUUCGUGAGGAUAAAUAAAAAUCUUAUUUUAGACCUGGGUUACUGUAAACAUUCCCAGCACAGCGGGGUGGUCUGCCUUGGAGGAGAUGUAAUAACUGAAGUAUCUAAAAGACCUCUUUUUCCAGCCAUCCCGUUUAAAGAGCUACCCCAUGGUAUAUGACCUCAGAGACAGUGUUUGCCUCGGCUUUACUGUAAUCCUCUCCUAGGCCCAUUUGGGGACUGGAAAGGGUAGUAGAGAACACCCACUGUCAGGGGAGGAGUACUAAGCUUCUGCUGUCAGCCAGGUGCAUGCCGGGUGUGGAAGAGGGCAGAGCAGUCUGGUGGUGGACAUGGACAGCUGCCCCACUACCUCUCUCUGUACCUCCAGAAUCAGCUGGUCUCACCGUAGCUCUUCCUGCUCACCAUUGUACAUCUGUCCGAGCCACCAAGCACCUGUAGCCCUGGAUGUCAGGAAUGCCCUUGGAAGGAUAGUGCCAUCACCUCACCCUUAACCCCACAUUCAAAAAUUGUUGUACCGCGUUAGACCCGAAAGUCACCACACCUUACACGGGUUGUGUUCAUUUAGUUUGCACUCAGUGGUUGUUCGCGUAGCAUGGAACUGAAAUCCUUGGACACUUACAGUAAAGAAUUUUUAAAACUGCACUCAUCUAUUUCACUGAAAUACCCUGCCUUAAACAGCAGAAUCCCUUUUUCAUAUUGGCAGUUGCUUGCAUAAACCCAUGUUUGCAUUAUCAGUUUCCUUUGACUUGUCAUAAAAACUCUUCUUCAGCAUAAACACAUAGGACCUUUGCUGACCUUCUGUUAUGUCAGCCAUCAAGGCCUAGUACCCCAAAGCAUGCUCUCUUUAAGGGACAACCAGAGCAAGCACGAGAGCACCAGAAAUCAUUUAUCGUUUACAUUAUGUGUUAAAAUCAAACAAUUUUAAAUACCUUUUGUCAGUGCUUACCUUCAUGUCCUACACAUCUCAACUUCUCUUUGGUUAAUGUGCCUGAGGAAACCAAAUUAUUAAAUGCCAACUGUGGAUAAAGUACAAAGGAAGACAGAGUAGAAUGUAGCUCCCAAUUCCUAAGAUGCAUGUCUUCUAGUUGGGGAACGGAAGCAUAUAAAAAUAUAUUGAACUGUCCCAAGGGCUGUGACAAGUUCAAGAUAUUUUGUAGAAGUCCUCUCAUAGAAGAGGUCAUGUGCAGUGAGCUGAGUGCCUUGGGACAGUAAUCACAGCUUCUAGCCUGUAAAGCAGAUACAGUGCUCAUUUUAAAGAACAUUUUGUUCAUUCAGUAACAGUGAAAAAAGUACCACAACCAUGGGGCUAAUACAAUAAAACCUACACACCUACUUAAUACAAUAGAUCUAUGGCUAAGUGAUGAAGAAGAGGAGGGAGGGAGUAAUUUUAGAUAAGUAGAGCCCAUCUGGGAAGGCUUCUGAUGGUGACCCGAAUGAAAUGUGGAGACAAGCCGUGAAUUCUAAAGGUAGAUAGUUAACCUUAGUUGCUGACAUCUGAAGAUCAGGGGAUCUCAAAUGCAGAUCGAUGACCACUGGUUUUCCUAGGAAGAUUGGAAGACGUGGCAAUGUUGGGUUAUCUUCCACCAAGCUUACUUUACCCAUAUGUUACUGUGUUCUGAGUUCCUAUAGGCAUUGUGACUUCUGCAUUGGGAGAAAAUACCACAUGUCGGAUUAAGUUAAAUUUUCCUCCCAGGCCAGGCUCCUAUAUCCUUAUAAACUUGGAUACACUUCUAAUCUACUUUUUAAAUAAUGAGAGACUCUAAACAUAAAUUAGUCGUAUGUCUUAGUCGGUCUCUCUAUCUCAGAGCCCCACUAAAAAUGAAAGUUAAGGGAUAAGGAAGGUAUAAACUCACAAGGACAGCCCACAAGAAGAGAUACCAGUGGAUGAGAGGGUAUAGUAAUUUGAAGGAUGGAAAAUAGAUGGGCUGCUGAUAACUAAAAUCAGUGCAAAGAAAGACAAUCAAAAGUCAUCCUGUAGAACCUCAAAGAUCCAAGGGUUGGAGACACUAGGUAGAGAGGAGAUGAGGUAUGAGGGUUGAGAAGCAAGGAAUUAGUUUGAAACUGGUAAACAAAGUGAUUGGAGCCCCAGGAAAGCCUCACCACUCUGAGCAUCCAGAUGAGCACCCCAGCCACGCCAGGAGAAUGGAAGUUUAUCUCUGGAAGGGUGGACCCAGGAAAGUUAAGGCCUUAAGGAUAGUGGGCUGGGCGUGAGGGUGAGCCAGGGUGAGCGACAGGGGACCAGGUACAUCUCUGCUUAUUCUAUAAUGGUUCCCUGGUUCUUUUCCCCUUACAACUCUAGGACCAGAGCAUAUGUGGAUGGAAUCAAAAGUUGAUCUGCUAUGUGGCCAUUUGGAAACAAAUACUGAUAGGUAUCUGACAAGAUCAGACAGAUAAGAGCAUGUGUUGCAAAAAAUCAAAAUAAAUACUUCAAAAAUGAAGCAAACGAUAAAACAAGGCAGUUACUAAUUCCCAAAAGACAAAACUCCACAAAAAAGGAAAUGUAAUUUUGAUUCACUAGUUGGGCCUGCAUGAACAGUAUACAGUUCUCCUAGGAGUACUGAUCACUGAGUUAACCUAAAAUUAUUACUAUUUGGUGAUGGUAGGGAAAGACAUGUAUUGGUAGGGACAGAGCGGGGUGAUGAAAGAGCUACCUUUCACUUCCUCCAAAGCAAGAAGUCGUUAGAUAGCAUAUGAAACUGAUAAAGCCACUGAAAUAAAAGCGUGACCUGAAAACACACAUGCAUGAUUAUUUACAGACCAACUUUCCAAGGAAAAGAGGAGAGGAGGAUUGAAUACGAUGGAGGUAUUAAUAAGCAUGAACAUGGAGAUGGAGGAAGGAUGUAGAGGUGUGUCAAGUACAUGGUCCGCUGUUGUGGGGGGUGGUUGUGUGUAUUUCCUGCGACGGAUGACAAAAUCACACUUCCCCUGAAUGGAGUAAGGGAGGAGCAGGGAGCUAAAAGGGGCCAAACAUUGUCACAAAGCAUGCUGUCCACGGGGCGUCUCCUCUGCCCCCUUUACCUGUUCACUCUUAAGUCCACAAACCCAAACCUAUCUACUUCCCAACCAUGACAAAUCAGCAACAACACUUGAGGUCCCAACCAGUUGUGAUUUUAGGAGAUCAGAAAGGAUGGCAGUGGCCACAAGCGAAUGGACUAACAGCUGUAAGAAAUGUCAGCUGACAGCCCGACAAGGAAGACAACCCGAAGCGUGGAAAGCAGAUGCUGGAAAUUCAGCAGUACAGCAGUCUGAGGCCAUUUAGUUGAAAGACUUCUACAUCUGGGGUAUCACUAGUGUUGCAUCGUGUAAGACCUUCACGAUCAUUAAGAAGUUUAAGUUUCACAUAUACUAAGAUAGAUCUUUUUGCUUAUUUUUGAUUCGUUAUAUAUGGUAUGUCUUCAGUUUGACUAUAUUUUCCAUGAAAUGACAUUGUAAAAGGCAUUUGAGAAUAUUCUGCCCAAAAUAAUCAGUACCCCCCCCCCCCAAAUGCUUGGUUUUUGUUUCAAAUUAGGGUAAAGUCCUUUGGAAUAUUUAGCUAUCCAAAUGUCCCUUUUCCUGGAAGUUUUUCUUCAAAGGAGGAGUCUGCCUUGCAGGGAUGAAGAAAAUGAGGCAAGGAGGGGAAACGGAGGAAGGUGACUACCAUAGGAAAGUGCUGGAAGACCAAAGGGAGAGGGUAAACCAAACCAAAGGGCUACGUGGGAUUCAAGAAACAGAAGGAAGUCUCCAGGAUGAUGAGACCAGUCUCAGAGAAAUGUUGAUCCAGAGGGUAAUGAUAGUGAAGGCAUGAGACUUUCCCCUGGAGCCUAUGAAAUGCGUGAAGAUACUGUGGAAGGAACUGAGGUUCUGUAUGCUGAGCUCUUCAAUCACAUGCACACACUUUAAAGAAAUAUCAUGCCAGAGAGGAGGCAGUUCAUACAGGAAGAAAUCAGUUUACAUAGAUGAGCGAAGGUGCUCCUCGGAGAAGAAGCACUGAAUAAAAGAUGGGGCACGCCAUCUCACUGCGGAGAAGGGAGAAAAUGACGAACCCUUUGGAACAGAAUGUACUCCUCUAGGGAAAAUGAUAAGUUAGCGAGUAGUAAACAGUAGCCUCGUUCCCUGAAAGAUGCUACAGAUGAGCAUUACCACUAACCAACCAUAAAGAAUUUCUUCUGGGAUUUUAAGAUUGGGUUUUUAUAUAGUUUGGUAUGAUUUAGUUAUUUCCCCCAGAAGGACAGUGUGCUUUAAUCAGACAAUUUUAUUCCCUCAUGGAAGACCCUAAAGCCAAGAUAAAGGUCUGUCCCAAAGCCUUGAUAAAAAUGCAGUAUUUCCUCAUAAACGGACCUGGGCAAUAUGUAGCAAGGGACUUAAAAAUCAUCCUUAUCCUUUUACACAGUAAUCCUAAUUCCAGAAAUCUGCCCUAAGGAAAUAACCAAAUUUUGGUCAAAGAUUUUGAUUCAAGGAAGUUCAUUUCAGUGUUAUUUAUAAUAGAGAAAAAGUUGGGAGCAUCAUAUAUGUUCAAUAGGAAAGGAAUGAUUAACUAAAUUGUGGUAUAUUCACAUGUGGGAAUUUUGGACAGCCAUUACAAAAUCCAAUUUUCAAGAAUUAUUUAAUGACUUUGGAAAUGUUCUCACUCUAAUGUUAAGUAAUGAAAGCAGGACACUAGUGGGAAUACAAAAUGUACAACCUCUAUGGAGGGAAAUUUGGCAAUCUCUACUAUAAUUUCAUGCACAUUAACCCUUUGACCCAGCAAUUCUAUUUCCAGGAACCUAUCCCAAAGAUAUACUGGCAAAUACACAAAGUGGUAUAUGUGCACCAUUACUCACUGUAACAUUAUUCAUAAUAGCAAGAAUAGGAAUAACCCGAAUGCCCAUCGUCAGGUGAUUGGGGUAGAUUAUCAGAGGUACAAAAUGGAACAUACACAGCUAUAAAGGGAAUAAGGAAGAACUUUAUGUUCAGAAUAUUUGGUUAAGAAAAAAAAAUCAAGAUACAGACCAAUUUAUACAAUAUGCCACCUUUUGUGUGUGUAAACCAAAUUCACUUAUUUUAUGGUGUUAGAAAGAACAAACAAAAAACCUUAUGAGUUCACCUGUGGGGCAUGUGACAGUUGGUCUCUAUAUAAUGCCUGUCACUUACUUCUGUUGAGUGAGUCUCAACCAGGGAUAGUUUUGCCCCCCAGGGAACAUUUGGCAAUGUCUGAAGACAAAUUUGGGCUGUUACAAUGGGGAGUCAUGCUACCGGCAUCUAGUGAGGAAACCCCAGGGGUGCUGGGGGCCUCAUACAAUGCACAGGGCGGCGCCCUCAGCCAACAGUUAUGUCAGUAACUGGUCCAAAAUGUCAAUAGCGCUGACGUUGAGACAUCCCAAAUUAGCACUUCCAUCCUGGGCCACGUGUGUACCAUUUUCCUCAUCAAAAUGUUGCUGUCCUGAGAGUAUGGGUAUUAUUACAGAGAAACUCUGUUACACACACAAAUACAAAAUAGAUCUAUCUACACAUUAGGAUUAGGUGAAUAUUAAUUGUAUUAAUGUUAAGAACUGUGAUUUUCCCAAUUAGAGAAAAGCUAUGGCUAUAAAAUCAAAUAAUUUCACUAAAACUCUUGUAGUCUCACAUUUGAAUGAGCGAUGCUGGUAUGGAUUCAUUAUUUGCCCCUUUUUAAACCUGUGUAUUUCCCUAGUUCUGCCCAGUCAAAAGGCCAAGAAGCAAUGAUAACCCAGUUAGCAAGGAGCACCCCUAAUUGUGAGGUUUCAGUCUCUAAAUAUUAUUUUUCCCAUUAAAGGAUAUGAUGAGCACAAUUCAGAAAAUUUAGACAUAUUACAGGACAGUCUCCCUGGCAGCAAUCAAGGCAGUGAUAACUAAGGGAAAAAAGGCGGGGGGGGGGUGGUGGUGAGGGGGAGUCUGUUCUAGAUUAAAGGAGACUUAUGAGAACAACCAAUUACAAAACGCAAACCUUGUUUGGAUACCAGUUCAGCAAAUCAAUUCUAAAAAGACAUUUUGGAACAAUAUGGGAAAUCUGAAUAUAAACUGGGUAUUUGAUGAUAUGGAAGAAUCACUGUUAAUUUUGUUGGGUAUGAUAAUGGCAUUGUACAGUAAUAUAAGAAAAUGUCCUUUUUUAUUUUUACUCUUUCAAUGUUUAUUUUGAGAGGGGGGAGAGAGAGAGAGAGAGAGAGAGCGCGCACAUGAAUAGGGGAGGGACAGAGACAGAGAGGGAGAAUCCCAAGCAGGCUCUGCACUGUCAAUGCAGAGCCUGAUGUGGGGCUUGAACUCACAAACCGUGAGAUCACAACCUGAGCCGAUAAUCAAGAGUCAGAUACUUAACUGACUGAGCCACUCAGACGUGCCGAAAAUGUCCUUUUCAAAAAGAUGUAUAGUAAAAUAUAUUUGUGAGAAGUAACAUGACAAUCUGGAAUAUACUUUAAAACAUUGCAGCAAAAUGAGGGAGGGGGAAAGAAUAGAUUAUAUCAAUCAGGCAAGAUGUUAGUUACUGAAACUGGGAAAUGGUGCUUUUUCCUCUUCUUUAGUGUCUGUUUGGAGUUUUUCAUACUAAAAAGUUUUUUAGAGCCCAGCAUUGCUCAAGGACAGAUCCAAAAGAACGUAUCUUUUUUAAUUAAAAAAAUUUUUAAUGUUUAUUUAUUUUUGAGAGAGACAGAGUGAGCAGGAGAGAGGUAGAGAGACAGAGGGAAACACAGAACGUGAAGCGGGCUCUAGGCUCCAAGCUGUCAGCACAGCCCAAUGCGGCACUGGAACUUGGGAAGGGCGAGAUCAUGACCUGAGCCGAAGUGUGACCCUUAACUGAUGGAGCCCGCCAGGCACCCCUGGAUCCGAAGGUUAGAAGCUGCUAAGACAAACACGAGAUCUUCUGAGCGAGCCAGCCCGUCCAUCUGCACCAGUAACUCUGUCUUCAUCCGGAGGCUUCCUUCAUGUUCUCCCCUACAGAGAGACACAGAGGUGCUCCCCAAGGUGCAGAGAGACCAAGGGGCCCUAUGAGACCAAACGCCCAGUUGGAAGGAGAACCACAUCCGGACUCUGUGUCUCCAUAUUGACCACUGCUCUUCCCACUGCCAAAGAAUAUAUAGAACUCCAGCUCCUCCCACCACAUGAAUCUGGACUUGGCCUUGUGACUUUGGCCAAUGAGACAUCAGCAAGUAGAAGAAGAGACGUGGGAGAUGCUGUUGGAUUGGGACCUGCCCUUUCUUGCUUCUGUCUGGGAACCCUCUGUCACCAUGGGAACAAGACUCGGUCUGCCUGCCGGAGGAUGAGAGGCACGUGGAGAAGUCUCAGUCGUUCCGUUUAUUCCAGCUUUCCCAGCCACCCUGGCUGAUGCCCCGGAUGUGGGAGUGAGUCCAGCCAGUAUCAUGUGGCAAAGAGAUGAGCUGGCCCUGCUGGGCCCAGCCCAAACGGCAUACCCCCACAGGCGCACAUAAUGAACCACUCUGCACAAAGACUUGUCAGGAAUAAGCAAUGAGCACAACACGGUGGCUUUCCUGCUGGUGCCCUGGAAGGGGCUGUCUAGUCCUUACAACCAGUCAAAGCAAAACCCCAGGUGAUGUGGGUAUUGGGGAGGGUAGGCGGUAAGAUGUAUAGAAGCAAAGUGAGAGGCCCUCUCUUACAGGAGGUAUUUCUGCUAUAAUACGUAUAUUUUUAGGGAGGCAGGCUAAUUUGAACCUAUCUAUAGCAACCGGCAAAUCAUAUAUAUUAGAGUCUUAGAUCUUAAAUGAUCACUUGAACAGACACCUGCCUUGAACCAAUAUGUAACAUGAUUCCAAAUUGCCUACAACGGACUGGGCCUUGGUACUCCAACGUUUAACCAAAUACUGUGACACAGGCAAAAAGUUAACUUGAUGGCAGAAAAACAUCCUGUCCUCUUCCUGAUGGGUGCAUGACAUACAGUUUGUCCAAUGGAUAAUGAACAGAAAUACCCCCACGAGGCUUCCCAUCCUUACCCUUAUAGGGUACACGACAGCUUCUUUGACUAACUGCUUGGCUGCAUCGAGUCCAAUAAUGUCAUUCCACUUUAUGUUUGGACUAUGGAGAUAAAUGUCCUGCAAUGCACAUUUGAUCAUUUUGUUAAAACUAGUGUUUUCCUCCACAGCUGUAAUAAACACAGGAGCAGCAGAAUACUUGACUUACAAUAGGAUGGAAAGGUGAUAAAAACUUUUCAUGUUAGAUAUACGUAUAUAUGCAUAUUGUAAUCAUGGGCUAGCUCACUAAAUGGAUGCCAUGAACAUAUUCAGUGAUUUUUCCCUGAAGAAGAUAUUGGUGAUACAAUAUGGUACUUUUAAGAGGGAAAAAAAAAAAUCUCCUAACGAUGGACUAUACCUGUCUUCAGUUAAUAGCAAACCGUGCUGAUUUACGGCUGUAAUCAAAGAGGCUACAGAAUAUGCCUUCAAAUUACAUUGGCUUUGACUGCAAAACAUAGUUCCUAGCCAGUGCCUGGCUCCCCUUGCUCCUUGCUCUCUCAAACGCUUUCUUAAUUUGUGGCCUAAGAGAGAUCACGCUCCUCUGAAACCAAUUUCUCUUUUUCCCUAGUGAUCACCCCUACUUUCCAUCAGGAGCAAUUGCUCCUACAAAAUUCAAGGAAGCCAACAACGGGGCAAAAGUGCGGUCUGCCCUCUCCUUGUGGAGCCCUGUAGCAACCAUCUGGGGCAAUCAAUUAAGGCCGGUUUUACUGAUAAUUCAUUUAAAGUUUCCAAACGUCAAUUUCACAAGCCACCUCGGAACAGUCACUCAGGGCCUUUCUCAGUAGGAGCUCUUUCAGGCAAACUGAGUAACUAGUGUGUUACAUCAAAAAAAAAGAAAAAGCUCCCUCUUUCAAGUCAUUCUGAGUGACCACAGAACAAUCUGGGAACUAGUUUUAUGUGUAUUUAAUUUUUAAAUAAACAAUACACGCACAUGGUUCAAAAACA